AGGAAGACCUUGCCAAAAGAGAACUUUCCAGCCGGCGUCAUCAUAAAAGCUAACUCGAAGGGAUGGAUGGAUGAAGAAAAAAUGAGCGAAGAGACCGGGUGACUUUUUUCACGCAGCUCCGUCCCUGUUGAUCUACGACUGCAUGCGCGUCCACAUCACAGAUGGUGUCAAAAAACAAGUGAAGCACACCGAAGAAGAAUUCGAGGGAUUUGUGGAUGAGUAAUAACUUCAGAAACGUAGCGCAGGUGCGGCUAAUAACAUGGGGCGGCUAAUAGGUAAACAAAGUUUUGAAAUAUGCCAUUCAUUGAAGGUGCGGCUUACAACACGGGGCGGCUUAUGACCACUGGAUGCUGGCACUUUG